rnacentral:rRNA from 1 species
UACGUAGGGGGCGAGCGUUGUCCGGAUUUAUUGGGCGUAAAGAGCUCGUAGGCGGCUUGGCAAGUCGGGUGUGAAACCUCCAGCUCAACCUGGAGACGCCACUCGAUACUGCCAUGGCUAGAGUCCGGUAGGGGACCACGGAAUUCCUGGUGUAGCGGUGAAAUGCGCAGAUAUCAGGAGGAACACCGGUGGCGAAGGCGGUUCUCUGGGCCGAUACUGACGCUGAGGAGCGAAAGUGUGGGGAGGCGAACAGG